GCCUCAGUAGUGUAGCCCGGUCUAGCACGCAGCCCUGUCGAGGCUGCCACCCGAGUUCAAAUCUCGGCUGAGGCG
rnacentral:tRNA from 1 species